ACUUAAUGGAUUUUAAUUAUGUUUUGUUAGUAUACUUAUACACAUAUCUAGUUACUAAAAGUGACCAAAGGUUCUCGGGGAUGUUCCUACACUGAGCCAAUUAAUCCGAUUAUAUUUAUCUGGAAAAUCAUAUACAUGCAUCAGAAUUCAUAUUUGAUAGGUUUCAUUAACACCCAAUAAAGACUAUAUGAAGGUCCAAUGAGAUUAAAAUAAUAACAAUAUGGAAAUCGUUGGAAUUUCACAUUUAACUUAUUGGACAUCGUUUAUCCAUUAAAUCAUUGAAAAAUCAGAUACAUGGUAUAUGAUUUUCUAUUGUGAAAAAAAUCUGUGUUUAUAUUUAGUGACACGAUGGCGGCCACUGCAUUCAUUUCGCUAGCAGAUAAAGGAUUUACGACGAAUUCUUGCAAGUUUUUAAAGAAUGUGGAACCAUUAUUUACUUCUCGUUGAAGAAUUGAGCUUCUAAUUCCAUACAACUGAGAACAUGAUGAAGUUCUGCUCGACGAUAUCUAUAGAUAUAGGUGAGUUAUUUUAUUCGGCAGUUAGUUUUGAGCUUAAAUUGUGUUAACAUGGUUUUAUUGUUUUAGAUUUAUAUACCAACCAUGCUACAACAAAAAUCCCUUUUGUUCAAGUUCCAGUAGUUACUGUGAGAUGGCUUUGCAGGUAGUGGAUCCAAAUAC